rnacentral:rRNA from 1 species
UACGUAGGGUGCGAGCGUUGUCCGGAAUUAUUGGGCGUAAAGAGCUCGUAGGCGGUCUGUCGCGUCGGCUGUGAAAACCCGGAGCUCAACUCCGGGCCUGCAGUCGAUACGGGCAGACUGGAGUUCGGCAGGGGGAGACUGGAAUUCCUGGUGUAGCGGUGAAAUGCGCAGAUAUCAGGAGGAACACCGGUGGCGAAGGCGGGUCUCUGGGCCGAUACUGACGCUGAGGAGCGAAAGCGUGGGGAGCGAACAGG